UGCUUGGUGCUCCUGUUUCUAUAAUGUC
rnacentral:piRNA from 1 species